GUCUGGAGUCAGGAUGUGUGUGACCCACAGCUCCUGGGCUGGUUCUGUCCUGCUGGUGACUUCUCGCCAGUAGCAGCUGCCAGCCAGAAUAGCAAAUCCAUGCGACUUGGCACCACUCCAGCUUCCUUGAGGGUUGCAGAGGGAUGGUAUGUUGGAGGGAUGAAACUUGGAUCUCUGGA